rnacentral:lncRNA from 1 species
UUUUAAUUGUGCAUGGUCAGAAUUAGUGGCGAACCCAUGUCUUGUUAGGGGAAAAAACAGGCAAAGCUCACCUUGUCUCGACUAAUAGGGAUCACCUAUGUAAAAAAAACACGUAAAUCUAAUAUGUAGCACAUUGUUUACAUGUUAUUAGAAUUAAUAGAUUGUCACGUUAGACAUUGUUGGAUAUAAUAGGAUCACGUAUAUCACGUAUGGAGUUAGAUCUUAUAGAAGAUAUUUUUCUUAUUUAUCCUAUUUUCAAAAUUAAAAAUGUAUAAAUAAACAUUUUGUAAUAGCCUAAUAGGUGAUCAUGUCCAUCGAGAUCUCACUAUAUUGAUGAUCAAUGGUCACUUUGGAGUACCGCAACAAUGCACAACUUAUAUACAUGGCCAUCAUCAGGAACAAAGGGGCAUCGAUGAACAGAAUAUAAGAAUACAUCUCCUCCCCUAUGCUGUUAUUAUUGCUCCUCCUCUAGAUUACCUUGUCCUGCAAUCCAUUCUCCGAUCCUUGGUUCCUAUCCCGAAC